rnacentral:piRNA from 1 species
CUAGGAAAUGGUCCGAAGUUAACGAGA